UACCGGCGGCUCGAGUGGUGGCCACUAUUACUGGGCUUAAAGCGUCCGUAGCUUGGUCGUUAAGCCUCUGGGGAAAUCUUCCGGCUCAACCGGAAGGCGUCUCAGGGGAACUGGCGACCUAGGGAUCGGGAGAGGUGAGAGGUACUCUGGGGGUAGGAGUGAAAUCCUGUAAUCCUCAGGGGACCACCUGUGGCGAAGGCGUCUCACCAGAACGACUCCGACAGUGAGGGACGAAAGCUGGGGGAGCAAA
rnacentral:rRNA from 1 species